rnacentral:ncRNA from 1 species
AACGUCUCUAGGGUUUAAGAUGAGUCGCCGGUUUUAUGCUUUUAGGUUUCUAUUUUGUCUCAAGGUUUUAGAGGCUAUCGUGCUGAUAAAGUGUUGUAAAAGAAUGGGGAAAUAGUGUCUCUUAUUUCUGAAUAUAAGUUCCCUUUAUGUAGGGGUUACAAGAUAAGGAUAAAAGGAAAGAGUACAAAUCCUAAUCAAAGAGGAAACAGGAAAACUACUAAAGAUAAAGAUGAAGAUAAAAGGAAAACAUCCUAAUCCUAUAGUCGGCCAAAGAGUGGCCGACUCUCUCUCCUCCGGACGCGGCCACGGCUGGGCUUGGUCGGUGCCUGAUGGGCCUUCUCUUCUUGUCUUGGUUAAUAGCAGUCCACUCAUGAUUUAUAACACCAAGGAUGUUUUCAUUAAUCAAGAACGAAAGUUGGGGGCUCGAAGACGAUCAGAUACAGUCCUAGUCUCAACCAUAAACGAUGCCGACCAGGGAUCAGCGGAUGUUGCUUUUAAGACUCUGCUGGCACCUUAUGAGAAAUUAAAGUUUUUGGGUUCCGGGGGGAGUAUGGUCGCAAGGCUGAAACUUAAAGGAAUUGACGGAAGGGCACCACCAUGAGUGGAGCCUGCGGCUUAAUUUGACUCAACACGGGGAAACUUACCAGGUCCAGACAUAGUAAGGAUUGACGGAGUGAGAGCUCUUUCUUGAUUCUAUUGGUGGUGGUGCAUGGCCGUUCUUAGUUGGUGGAGCGAUUUGUCUGGUUAAUUCCAUUAACGAACGAGACCUCAGCCUGCUAACUAGCUACGUGGAGGCAUCCCUUCACGGUCGGCUUCUUAGAGGGACUAUGGCCGUUUAGGCCAAGGAAGUUUGAGGCAAUAACAGGUUUGUGAUGCGCUUAGAUGUUCUGGGACGCACGCGGCGACGUGGGUGGUUCGCCGUCUGCGACGUCGCGAGAAGUCCACUAAACCUUAUCAUUUAGAGGAAGGAGAAGUCGUAACAAGGUUUCCGUAGAUGAACCUGCGGAAGGAUUAUUG